CCCACUACCCUGAAGGAAGUUUAGUUACUAUAGUGUCUUUUCUUCUCUUUCUGUCUCACUCUAUCUGAAAAAGGUCAACCUAGAAAGGUGAAACUUCUGUGACAACAACAAUAAAGUGCAUAUAUAACCCAACUUUAAAUAAUGGUCCAAAGCAACUACACAGGGACAUACCUGCCACAUUCUGUUGACUACCCAUCAGUGAGAGGAAAGAAUGUGCCUGAGCACCCUAGAACAUAAGCAGUGUCAGAGGAUCACAUCCAAGGUUCCCUGAAUGCAAACCCUAAACUCUACCACUAGUCAACCUCCCUACACCAGCCUCUGUGUAUUUCUCAGUUAAAGUGGAAAAUCUCUGAUCCACACCAUCUGUUUGUUUCAUCCAGUGGUGCAUUCCAAUCUCAGCAACAGGAGGCUCCUGACAACCUGCCAAUAAAAUUCCUGAGAAUGUCAAGACACAGAAUACUUGUGAAAAAGAUUAAGAUAAGAUUCUUUUUCAUGGUUAAGUUUCUCACACACUCCCUUUCUAUCAGUGCAACUCUGGUUUCAAUAAAAGAUUUCAGGUAAAACUGGAAAAUACCACACAGAGAGAGCUUUCAGUGAUUUAUUCCAUAAACAGUUUGCUGGGUUAGAAUCCCUGACUCACUCAACUUUGGAAUAGAAAUCUGAGCUUCCAUUUGCAUUCACUGAAAUGGCAAUUAGUUGGUGGCAGGUCACAUCCAGCUUACUACAUUCCAUAAAGAAUAAAGAGCCAAGCCUUCCAGAGAACACUGUCCAACUUAAAUCCAUAGUGAUCAACACUCUUUGUGUUGAACCCAGACAGGGUCACGAGAAAAAAUGUGCAUAAUCCUUUGAGUACCACAACUGUUAGAAUGGUAGAGAACCCACUUUCAGAAGCAAGAGCACCAUAUGUAGUUAUUGAUAAGUCACUAAUGUGACCGAGGCUACACUAUGAACUUUAAGUAUGUCACUUCUAUUAAUCCUCACAACUAUUUAUGAGCUAUAUUCUACUGAACUGAACUACUUUUCUGUUGGAGAACUUGAGGCAGAGAAGUUAAGUAAUCUGCUGACAAUUUGUCUGAAAGUCUACAUGUUCUGUCACAUUUGAAACAAGAAGUUGUUACUUCUUUAUGAAGAAAACACUGUUGAUACAUCAUUGGGUAUAAGUGAAUCUCCCAGUAUUUGGGGAGAAUGGAUUUACAUUGAACUACCUAGCCAUGCUCACCCAAUCUCAAAGAUAGUUUUGCAUGAUGGUUAAUUGAAUGUAUGGGUGCAGUCAUUGGUUCUAAAGUACAGUAAAUUUAUUGCCUAACUUGAAGAUGAAUAGGAAACCCCAACUCAUUAACAAGAUACCUUAGUGAGAAAACAUAUUAAGUGACCACAAUUGGACUGUUAAAAAGUAAUUUCUUUGAUGGCUUGAUGUCCUAUACUAUGAAAGAAAUGAGUAGUUAACUAAAAACAGAAAACUUUGGGGGCUGAAUGGUGGCACAUCUGGUAGAGCACAGGCAUUAUAGUGCAUAAGGCCCCAGAUUCCAGCUCCUGGGACCCACCUGCAGGGAGGAAACUUCAUGAUGGUGAGGCAGUGCUCUGUAGGAGUCAGUUUCUCUCUCUCUCUCUCUUUUUAUCUGUCUCUCUCUCAUAUAAUUUAAAUCAUUAAAAAAACAAGAUGAAUUCCUUUAACUGUAUUUUCCAAAUUUUUUUCUUGGUGUCAUCAAAUUUCUAAUAUUGCUGAAUAUGUUGAGUUCCCAAAAUUCAUAUCAUAUUGUUAUAAAGUGGUUCCAAUUUCUCAGAUAUAACCAAUAAAUAAUUCCAUUCUUUGUUGUGAGACUAAGUCUAAAUUGUAGGAGGAAAUUCUCUUAGUCACCAUGAAUGCUGAACUGCUAAUUUAUAUAAUUGUCACAGAAACCUCACAGUACUCUCAACUCAAUGCAUGAUUCUCUAAAUUCAAGCAUUUGAUUAAAGAUAAUAAUAUGCUGUUUAUUUAAAAAUUACUGAUGGUUUACCAUAUGUAAGAACAAAAGAGGACCACUGGAUUAGUGUCUGUUAUGUGCCCAACCAUUCUUUAAUAUUUAUUGAUUCAUUCAUUUUCCAUUUUCCCUUAUUUUUUCUUUCCUUUAUUUGAUAGAGACAGAGAAAAGCUAAGAGGGAAUGAGGAGAAGAGAAGGAAAGAGAAUGAGAGAUAUCUGCAACACUGCUCCACCACAGGUGGGGAUCAGAGGCUUGAACCUGGAUCCUUGCACACUGUGACGUGUGAGCACUUAACCAGCAAGGAGAGACUAUGAGUGAAGGACAAAGAGAAGAGAAGAAGAAAUGCCACAGCACCUGCUCUAGUUGGUGCUCUCAGAAUUUCUGUCUCCCCUCGGGAAAAGCAGUGAGCCAUGGUAGACCACAGGAACCAAUGAAAAUACCUCAUCUUAUUUGAAGUGGAUCGCAUUUCACCAUUUCUGACAGAUGGAACCUUUGGAGUGGAAUAUUAAUGACCAUUGGGAGAUGACACUAGUCAUUUAAGGAAACAUUCAAUAAAUAAGCAAGUGAUACUUUACACAGAGACUCCCUAAAUGUGUAAAAUGCUUAGAAGCCAAGAAAGCUGUUCCUGGAGCUUUGGCUACAAUUUAAAAAUAAUAAACCUUAGUUUUAUAUAAUCCUCAGAUAUAGUAAAGAAAGAAACAAAGAAA